ensembl:snoRNA
UUUAGUGAUGGGUAUACUAUGGAAAUAAUAUAUGUAGUUCAAAAGACAGUAAAAUAGAAAUUCACUAUCUGGCAUUGUUGGUUUCCUGGCUUUGUGCAAGAUAAACCUGGUAUUUCUAAUGAUACAGUU